rnacentral:rRNA from 1 species
ACGCUAUCACUCCUACGGGAGGCAGCAGUAGGGAAUUUUCGCAAUGGACGCAAGUCUGACGAAGCAAUGCCGCGUGAGGGAUGAAGGUUUUCGGAUUGUAAAACCUCUGUUANAAGGGAAGAAAAACCUGAUAUAGGAAAUGAUAUCAGCUUGACGGUACCUUAUCAGAAAGGGACGGCUAACUACGUGCCAGCAGCCGCGGUAAUACGUAGGUCCCGAGCGUUAUCCGGAAUUAUUGGGCGUAAAGAGCAUGUAGGCGGUUUAUUAAGUCUGGUGUGAAAGCUAGUGGCUCAACCACUAAAUUGCAUUGGAUACUGGUAAACUAGAAUACUGGAGGGGCAAGUGGAAUUCCAUGUGUAGCGGUGGAAUGCGUAGAUAUAUGGAGGAACACCAAUGGCGAAGGCAGCUUGCUGGACAGUAAUUGACGCUGAGAUGCGAAAGCGUGGGUAGCAAACAGGAUUAGAUACCCUGGUAG